rnacentral:tRNA from 1 species
GCCUGAGUGGUUUAGUCGGUGAAGUGUGUGACUUCAGCUCAGAUCAUGAUCUCACAGUUUGUGGGUUUGAGCCCCACAUCAGGCU